GAAAGAUGGCUUCGGCUAUCACUUUUGGAUGGUCCCGCGGCGUAUUAGCUAGAUGGUGGGGUAACGGCUCACCAUGGCAAUGAUACGUAGCCGACCUGAGAGGGUAAUCGGCCACAUUGGGACUGAGACACGGCCCAAACUCCUACGGGAGGCAGCAGUAGGGAAUCUUCCACAAUGGACGAAAGUCUGAUGGAGCAACGCCGCGUGAGUGAAGAAGGGUUUCGGCUCGUAAAACUCUGUUGUUAAAGAAGAACAUAUCUGAGAGUAACUGUUCAGGUAUUGACGGUAUUUAACCAGAAAGCCACGGCUAACUACGUGCCAGCAGCCGCGGUAAUACGUAGGUGGCAAGCGUUGUCCGGAUUUAUUGGGCGUAAAGCGAGCGCAGGCGGUUUUUUAAGUCUGAUGUGAAAGCCUUCGGCUCAACCGAAGAAGUGCAUCGGAA
rnacentral:rRNA from 2 species